ACAUCCAGAGAAUUUAGCAGAGAUGCUUUAGUGCCUUCGGGAACUCUGAGACAGGUGCUGCAUGGCUGUCGUCAGCUCGUGUUGUGAAAUGUUGGGUUAAGUCCCGNAACGAGCGCAACCCUUUAUCCUUUGUUGCCAGCACGUAAUGGUGGGAACUCAAAGGAGACUGCCGGUGAUAAACCGGAGGAAGGUGGGGAUGACGUCAGGUCAUCAUGGCCCUUACGAGUAGGGCUACACACGUGCUACAAUGGCGCAUACAAAGAGAAGCGACCUCGCGAGAGCAAGCGGACCUCAUAAAGUGCGUCGUAGUCCGGAUUGGAGUCUGCAACUCGACUCCAUGAAGUCGGAAUCGCUAGUAAUCGUAAAUCAGAAUGUUACGGUGAAUACGUUCCCGGGCCUUGUACACACCGCCCGUCACACCAUGGGAGUGGGUUGCAAAAGAAGUAGAUAGCUUAACCUUCGGGAGGGCGUUUACCACUUUGUGAUUCAUGACUGGGGUGAAGUCGUAACAAGGUAAGCGUAGUGCU
rnacentral:rRNA from 1 species